rnacentral:rRNA from 1 species
AUACGUAGGUGACAAGCGUUAUCCGGAUUUACUGGGCGUAAAGGGCGUGUAGGCGGUCUUGCAAGUCAGAAGUGAAAUUCCUGAGCUCAACUCGGGCGCUGCUUCUGAAACUGCAGGACUUGAGUGCUGGAGGGGAUAGCGGAAUUCCUAGUGGAGCGGUAAAAUGCGCAGAUAUCAUGAAGAACUCCGAUUGCGAAGGCAGUCCGCUGGGGCACGUCUGACGCUGAUGCUCGAAGGUGCGGGAAUCAAACAGGAUUAGAUACCCUGGUAGUCCGCACGGUAAACGAUGAUUACCCGCUGUCGGCGGCAGACAGUCGGCGGCCAAGCGAAAGCGAUAAGUAAUCCACCUGGGGAGUACGCCGGCAGCGGUGAAACUCAAAGGAAUUGACGGGG